rnacentral:rRNA from 1 species
AUACAGAGGGUGCAAGCGUUAAUGGGAUUUACUGGGCGUAAAGCGCGCGUAGGCGGCUAAUUAAGUCAAAUGUGAAAUCCCCGAGCUUAACUUGGGAAUUGCAUUCGAUACUGGUUAGCUAGAGUGUGGGAGAGGAUGGUAGAAUUCCAGGUGUAGCGGUGAAAUGCGUAGAGAUCUGGAGGAAUACCGAUGGCGAAGGCAGCCAUCUGGCCUAACACUGACGCUGAGGUCCGAAAGCGUGGGGAGCAAACAGGAUUAGAAACCCCGGUAGUCC